UAAGAACACACUGCAAGUGUAUAGCUCUUGCCAUCCAAGGCCCUCAAAGCACUUUGUAUAGGCCAAGUCUGACAAAUCCCCCUGUAGAGUAGGAAACUGAUGUUCCUUUCAAACCCCAAUGAGAGAGGCUACGAAAGGAGAAGAAAUCAAUGCUUUGAAGAGGACACGCCAUCUCAUCACGCUGCAUAAGUGGAAUCCCAGCCCGUGAUGAAAGAAUGGCAGCAAGCCACAGGCCUUUCUAAGAAGCCGUCCCUGCUUCACAAGCGUGAUCCAGGUAACUCCCUCUAACUGCAUCUGCUGGCUGAGUGUCCAGACUGCGUGUGGCAACACGUCCGUUGCAGGAGAUUAUGGAGAUCCCCUUUGCAAGAAGCAAUGGUUCAGAACACUGCAGGUUGCUAGAUAUUCCCCUAGUCCAGUCGUAACAUUAAGGACACGGCCUACGGCAGCUCUGAUGCAGGAGUUGGCAAGCACUGCAGCCCACUGAUCUCCAGCGGAGGAGCCCCUCAGAAGUAUGAUGAGGGGCUGUCAGGGUUUCGUGGUGGCAGAGAAGUUGAACACCCUAGUUACGGUGCCCAGGAUCAGAGCUUUGCAGCAGGCCUGUCCGGAAUGCAAAGUACUGCAGGGAACUGCUCUCCAACCUCUGGAGAGAUCAGGAACAGCCCAGAUUGGAUGAAAGAAGAAUAUUAAUGGAAGUCUGGGCGAAAGGAUGAGUUUAUUUAAGCCAGAGUAGCUAAGAGCUCUGGAAACUCUGCUCAGUCAUUAACUGGGAGACCAGUUCCAACCACCCCA